UUUCUUCAGGCGCCUUGUAGUCACCUACAUAAGGGCAAAGAAGCUCCCCAAGAAGGGGCGAAGCCUGUAAAAUUAGAAGCUGGGUUAGCGCUGAGACUCCGGAGAGCUUUGGGAGAAAGUUGCUGGGUCAAACCUCAGAUUCACAGGAGCAGUUUAAUCACAUUGGCUGGAAUCCUUACCUAAUCAGGAGUAUCACUAGAGCCCAAGUCACCAGCAUUUCAAAGUUCCUACCAAGAAUUCACAGCAACUGGUGAGCACCAUAUCUUUCUUUCUAUCACAUCCACAUAUGGUGAAAUUGACAUGCGGACCGCUUAAAAAUUAUCAGCAGAAGAAUCCUUAUCCUAAUAGUUAAGCUUGCUCCAGACCAAAUCAUGCUUUCAAUAGCAUAGAGUGAGUGUGAAAGGAAAAUGGCGAGAUUAGAGAAUUGAAAAAUGAAGUGAAAGGGAGAACAAGGAGCCAAAAAACAAAUCAGGAAGAUAAUAAAAGAUGAUUUGUUCUUUUAACAACUGUGGGCUAAUUAAGAGUGUUUCCUGAUGUUAAAGACUAGCAUCCAAUUUUUUUUUCCCCAUUAGAAAAUGCAAAGGUAGCAGCUUCUUCCAAGGCUCUAAGCCAUCCCCUGUGGACUGCCCUCUGCUUUCACAGACCAUAACUUGAAAAAGAAAAAUGACAGAAAGGAAGAAAGGCCCCUAACAGCUGGAGCUUUAAUUUACCUACAUGGAAAAAAAGAAAAGUACUCCAUUCAGAGAUUUCUCCUGGAUUGCCCUAUUUGGAGGAAAGAAAAGCGCCAGAGAAAAUUGCCAAAAAAAAAAAAAAAGAAAAAAGAAAGAGAAAAGAAAGAAAGAAAAGAAAAAAAGAAAGAAAAAGAAAAAAAGCUUUUUGAAAGAGAUCAUAUGAAAAGAGCAAAUCUUGAAAAUGUGUUUAAUAACUGCCAGUGUUGAAUUCUCUGGCAGUCUUUACUGAGCAGUUAAAGACCAGCCAGCAUAUGAAAGAGUCUGAAUUAGCACAGUCUAGAGCUGACAAAUGUAGUGCAAGAAGAUUUAUUCUUUCUCACCUAUGAUUUUGAAAUCAGAAUGAUUCGGUAUUUAAGGAAGGUGCUGCAACUGUUGCAUUCAUUUGUGCUGAGGGCUUCUAGCUAGACCUAAAGCUGGGUCUGCAAAAUGGAAGAACAAUGCUCCCAAGCUACCAAGUUAGUGUCCCACAGAAUAUUUUUAAAUUAUUUAACACACAUCAUCUCAAUGUCAACAACUCAUCACAGAUAAACUAUCUAAUUAACAGAACCCUUCAUAGUAUUUGAUAACUGAGUCUUGGCUCGGUUAUUACACCAGAAGGGCAAUCCUUGAUAAGCAGAAAUUAUAAAAGCAGAUUUUUAGAAGCAUUAAUGCAGAAAUAGAAUCAAGUUAGUUUGGAAUUAACCCCCUGUUAGAAUUUAAAACAUUUGAAAGUAAUCUGAUUGCCACUUACAACAUGGAAGGAUCUCUUUGGCUAUAAGGUUUUUGUCUAACUGCCAACAUCUGUACUUGGAUUUCUUUGUUGUAUAUUAGGUUCUGAAUAUCAAGGGUAACCAACAUGGCAGACCACACUAAAGGAACAGAUGAGUUUAUCUUGUCAUUAGAGCCUCCCACCACAGCCUUUAAUAAUUAUAGCUAAUUCUAGGAUUGUGUUCUAUAUUCUGCUUAGUAAGUCCAGAUUUUUUCUCUCUUCAACUCCAUGUUGGCAAGACUUCUAGAGAAACAGAAUAAAAUUAAGAGUAGAAAUAAUUAUUAGAAUAAUUAACUGGUUGCCCAAAUUUGGCUCUCAAUAGUCAUUCUGAUAGAGGAGAAAGAAAGAAGACUAAUCAUAAUGAUAACUCCUUUUCCCACCAGCCUUUAUCCAAGAAGCUCCACAGUGCUACAAAUUACAUUGAUAAGGAACAAGGAAAAGGUGGAGCUAUAAGUAGAAAAUGAUGUGAAAUUAAGUCCUGUAAAGUUUUAGGUUUUGGGCUUACAUCUCACUCCCCUCCCACCGUGAAUAGUAAAUUACAUUAGUAAUUCAUGAGUUUCCCUCAAUAAGCAUUAAAUACCUACUAUGUGCAAGGCACCUUUCUAGGCAUUGAAGAUAGAAAGCCAAAAAUAAAACAACCUUCCCUUCAAGGAAAAUGGGAAUUAUGUUGGAAAUUAAUAACUUACAAUAGUUUCUUUAAGUAAGGAAAUAGAUUCCAUACAACAAUUUCAAUUAAUUGAACAUAAUAUGAAACCUUGAUGAACUUUUAAAUGUGUAAACAAGAUAGUUUACACCUUGUGAUAUCUUUUCUAGGCAGAGAUAUCCUUGAUUGGAUCAAGAAGGGAAAAUUGUGAUAGACCAAGCUAAUGAGAUAACAAUGUCUCUGGGGACAUAGUGGAAGUUCAGCAGUUACUCAGGCCAAUAGCAGACCAGUCAAGUAGUAGAGGACUCCAGGCUCAGAUGUAUCUUGAGAAAUCAGAACCUUGCAUUUAUACUAGAGGGCAGCAAGAUGGGUGGGGAGUGAGGCUAGAAGGAAUACUACAGUCCCCCUUUCCAACUUCAUUACUAGGCCUAUAUUUGAAAGAGAUCAAAGGAAAGAGAGAAGCUCUUUUUGUAGUAGCAAAGAACUGAAAAUUAAGAUAGCCCUCAUUUAGGGGACCAAUGAACCAAUUAUGGCAUAUAAAUGUAAUGGAAUACUAUUGUGUGAUUAAAAAUGAUGCAAGGGAUGGUUUCAGUCAAAGGAUGGUUUCAAUGAAAUCUGGGAAGUCUCAUGAACUAAGGCAGAGAGAAGUGAGCAGAACAAAGAGAUCAAUUUAUACAGUAAAAACAACACUGUUAAAACUACUAACUUUGAAAGCCUUAAAAACUCUGAUCAACACAAAGACCAUCCAUGACUCCAGAGGACCAGUGAUGAAGCAUGUUAUUUGCCUCCUAACAAAGAUGGACUCAGGGUACAGACAUGACUAAGUUGGGAAUUUUUUUACUUGACUAUGUAUAUUUGUUAUAAAGGUUUUGUUUUUCCUCUUUUUUUUUAAUGGGAGGUAGGGUGGAAGAAGAGAUUAUUGAUUUUUGUUAAUUUUAAAAAGUAAUUAAAAAAAAGAAUGCAAAUUC